UGGAGGUAGAUGGUCCGUCUGCUGACUGGGUGGAGGCCAUCUCCUGAGACUGGGAGGUAGAUGGUCCGUCUGCUGACUGGGUGGCCAUCUCCUGGGACUGGGAGGUAGAUGGUUCCGUCUGCUGACUGGGUGGAGGCCAUCUCCUGGGACUGGGAGGUAGAUGGUCCGUCUGCUGACUGGGUGGAGGCCAUCUCCUGGGACUGGGAGGUAGAUGGGCGUCUGCUGACUGGCUGGCCAUCUCCUGGACUGGGAGGUAGAUGGUCCGUCUGCUGACUGGGUGCCAUCUCCUGGGACUGGGAGGUAGAUGGUCCGUCUGCUGACUGGGUGGAGGCCAUCUCCUGGGACUGGGAGGUAGAUGGUCCGUCUGCUGACUGGGUGGCCAUCUCCUGGACUGGGAGGUAGAUGGUCCGUCUGCUGACUGGGUGGCCAUCUCCUGGGACUGGGGAGGUAGAGGGUCCGUCUGCUGACUGGCUGGCCAUCUCCUGGACUGGGAGGUAGAUGUCCGUCUGCU